AUCGCUUCUCGGUCUUUUGGCUAAGGUCAGGUGUAGUAACUGUUCUUAUCACUUUAAAAUCCAGCAAAAUUCUAUCUCUUCUCUGUCAGUAUGAGGUACUUCUUGGAUGAAGACUUCAUUCAAGUGUUUCUUAGCAACUCUA
rnacentral:snRNA from 1 species